UGGGGCCUACAUCCCAUGAAUUGUGGCAAUUCUACUUUAAUGUUGGAUGAGAUUUGUAUCUCAUAAGGAACAUCUCUGUGGCAGCAACGUUACAAUAAGAGAAAGGCAUAUACAUAUGUGUUAUUCAUCUAAAUCGUGGGACUUUCUUACGAGGAUAUGGCAGCAACCUUUUCCAAAUAUGAAGCAAUAGUUAACUAUCCCUCUUGAGAAUAAUUCAUAGGCAGCAAGUAAGAAUGGAGCAGCAAUGUUUGACUGUAUAUAUAGAGAUAUACAUAUAUAUUUCCAUCUCAAUCUAUGAAGGAAGGGCAGCAAUGUUUGAAGGGAGAAAAUCCUAUUUCGCUGAAGCAAAACGCGAAAAACAAAAAAAAAGGUUAUACCCACAUCGGUUUCCUCCACAAAAUAUCAAAUCAGAGAUUUCUUCAAAGAGAAGUAAGGUGGAAGAGUAAUAGUUUUUGGCAAAUGAGGUUUAUCAUAUUAAUUGUGGAAGUUCUUGGCUGGACUGAGCCCUUGAACGACGUAAGGUACAGACGCACAGUUUGGUGAUCCACCAGUUUAGGACACUUUAGGACACUCUUCUGCUGUUUGGAGUGCUCUUCUCAUUUCAGAGCAUAUAUUUUGGUAUACAUUUGUUCAGGGGUACGGCGGGGCCCUGUCCCGCCAUAUGUUUCGGUUGGUCUAUUUAGAGGUCUGUAGACAUAUUUGUGGGUGUGUGUGCCUACUUCUGUUCAGAUGUGUUUGUAUGAUCCUAUUCGUUAUGGCAGCCUUGUCGGCAUGCAUUCGUAUA